rnacentral:rRNA from 1 species
AUUGAACGCUGGUGGCAUGCCUUACACAUGCAAGUCGAACGGCAGCACGGGGCAACCUGGUGGCGAGUGGCGAACGGGUGAGUAAUGCAUCGGAACGUGCCAUUGAGUGGGGGAUAACGUAGCGAAAGUUGCGCUAAUACCGCAUAUUCUGUGAGCAGGAAAGCAGGGGACCGCAAGGCCUUGCGCUCUUUGAGCGGCCGAUGUCAGAUUAGCUAGUUGGUGAGGUAACGGCUUACCAAGGCGACGAUCUGUAGCGGGUCUGAGAGGAUGAUCCGCCACACUGGAACUGAGACACGGUCCAGACUCCUACGGGAGGCAGCAGUGGGGAAUUUUGGACAAUGGGCGCAAGCCUGAUCCAGCCAUGCCGCGUGAGUGAAGAAGGCCU